rnacentral:rRNA from 1 species
GUGAUAAGGUCCGUGGUCAAAAGGAAAAGAGUCCAGACCGCCAAAUAAGGUCCCAAAAUAUAUGCUAAGUGGAGAAGGAUGUAGAGAUGCCUAAACAACUAGGAUGUUGGCUUAGAAGCAGCCAUCAUUUAAAGAGUGCGUAAUAGCUCACUAGUCGAGUGACUCCGCGCCGAAAAUGUACCGGGGCUAAGCAUAUUACCGAAUUUGCGGAUUCGAUACGAAAGUAUUGAGUGGUAGGGGAGCGUUCCAUAUUGGGAAGAAGCAAGAUCGAGAGGACUUGUGGACUAUAUGGAAGUGAGAAUGCCGGUGUGAGUAACGAAAAGACAGGUGAGAAUCCUGUCCGUCAAAAACCCAAGGUUUCCAGGGGAAGGGUCGUCCGCCCUGGGUAAGUCUGGGCCUAAGGUGAGGCCGAGAGGCGUAGCUGAUGGAUAUCUGGUGUAUAUUCCAGAACUAGUAUAAUGACUGAUGGAGUGACGAAGAAGGCUAGGAUCCGAUUCUUAGUGGAUUGAAUACGAGAUAUCAAGAGGGGAUGUAGGCAAAUCCGCAUCUAGAAAUCAAGAUAUGAAAGGUAAAGGAUAACGAAGUCAAGCUUCCAAGAAAAGCUUCUAGGGUUAAUCAUUAUACUACCAGUACCGUAAACCGACACAGGUGGGUAGGAAGAGAAUUCUAAGACGCGCGAGAAAACCCUUGUUAAGGAACUCUGCAAGUUGGCCCCGUAAGUUCGCAAUAAGGGGAGCUCAUGUAAAAGUGAGCCACAGAAAAGAAGCCCAAGCAACUGUUUAACAAAAACACAGGUUUAUGCAAAACCGUAAGGUGAAGUAUAUGAGCUGACACCUGCCCGGUGCUGGAAGGUUAAGAGGAGAGGUUAGAGCAAUCGAAGCCUUGAAUUGAAGCCCCAGUAAACGGCGGCCGUAACUAUAACGGUCCUAAGGUAGCGAAAUUCCUUGUCAGGUAAGUUCUGACCCGCACGAAAGGUGUAAUGUCUUUGGGCACUGUCUCAACAGGGGACUCGGUGAAAUCAAACUGCCGGUGAAAAUGCCGGCUACCCGCGAUUAGACGGAAAGACCCCAUGGAGCUUUACUGUAGGUUGAUAUUGAUAUUUGGUAUGUAAUGUACAGGAUAGGUGGGAGACUAUGAAGCUAGGACGUUAGUCUUGGUGGAGUCGACGUUGGGAUACCACCCUUUGCCUAUCGAGUAUCUAACUAGUGUAAGUGGAUUACAAAGGACAGUGUCAGUUGGGCAGUUUGACUG